AUUGAACGCUGGCGGCAUGCCUUACACAUGCAAGUCGAACGGCAGCAUGAUCUAGCUUGCUAGAUUGAUGGCGAGUGGCGAACGGGUGAGUAAUACAUCGGAACGUGCCCUGUAGUGGGGGAUAACUAGUCGAAAGAUUAGCUAAUACCGCAUACGACCUGAGGGUGAAAGUGGGGGACCGCAAGGCCUCAUGCUAUAGGAGCGGCCGAUGUCUGAUUAGCUAGUUGGUGAGGUAAAGGCUCACCAAGGCGACGAUCAGUAGCUGGUCUGAGAGGACGAUCAGCCACACUGGGACUGAGACACGGCCCAGACUCCUACGGGAGGCAGCAGUGGGGAAUUUUGGACAAUGGGCGAAAGCCUGAUCCAGCAAUGCCGCGUGUGUGAAGAAGGCCUUCGGGUUGUAAAGCACUUUUGUCCGGAAAGAAAUGGCUCUGGUUAACACCUGGGGUCGAUGACGGUACCGGAAGAAUAAGGACCGUCUAACUACGUG
rnacentral:rRNA from 1 species